rnacentral:lncRNA from 1 species
AUAUCAGAUGAGGUAUCUACUUCUUUUUAGCAGUGGAUAUUAGAUUCUGCAUACACCCAUAAUGUAUGUUGCAGAGAGGAGCAGUUUGAUUUCCUGAAGAACAGUGAGGGCACUGUAUAUCUGCCGGAUGGAUUGAGUUGUGCGAUCAGAGGCAUCGGGACGAUUAGCUAGAGGACGCAUGAUGGUGCAAUGAGGAGAUUGUUGGAGGUUCGAUACAUACCCAAUUUUAGAUGAAAUCUUAUCUCACUGAGC